rnacentral:lncRNA from 1 species
GGUUAUCCCGUUCCCUCUUCUCUAAGAACUCCUUUUUCUGAAACAAAUCAGUAGUCGUCGCACCAUUUUCGUCCUCAUUUGCAUGUAAGGUAGACAGAGCACUAAACCAGGAUCUCACCCCCUCCUUAGCCGGAUUAGUCAUAUUUUGGCUCCGGUUAGUUCCGAGUUACGUCGAGAUUUCAACUUGACGAGCAUCCACGGCCCAAAAGAUUCCGUUGACUCCAUCGAUUUCUCUUUCUCAGGUAUGGCCACCAAUGUUGCAUUUUUACCCAUAGUGCAACCCGUUAGUGUCCUGAAAAAAGGGCAUAAAUGUUUCACAGGACCAUAAAGGCCACAAGAAAAGCAUACUGUUGGCAACGCCUCAUAUUCAACCCUCUGCACCGUUCCAUUAAUCAAAAUCUGCGAGACUAGCAGUUUCUCCAAAUUGAUAUACACCGCCAUUCGGGAAAACCUUCCCCUCGACCCACUAUCCAUCUUGAAAUCGAGUUUUGCCUCCUUACCGACCAAACCAACAAUUUUCUCCAAAAUUCGACGCUUACAAAGAAACCCCAGCAAUCCAGGUAACCGUAUCCAAGCCAUGACAGUACUGCGAAGGGUUAAAGAGGAUAAAAGUCCAAAGUCCACGGGUGAACCGUGAGGUAUUAUCCAAAAACAAUCCACGACCUCUAGGUAAGCACCUUCUCGUAAUCUUCCCUACUUUGAAAAUUGACCAAAAAGUAUCCAUUCUCGACAUCCAUAACAUGAAACAGAUGGGAGGGUUUCCAAAGACUAUAGAUUCUGUUAUGCAGAGUGGUAUAUGCUAAAUUAUGUCCCAAUAAUUUCACCACCACCGCCAUCGCCAUAUCCCUUACCAGAAUAUGUUGUAUCCUCUCGGAGAAGUCUAUCGCAUGCAUACCAUUAACAGUGGACCUUGUGAUAUCUCCCUCCAUGAAAUCCAAUUCCUCUUCAUAGACAGAAUCGGAAUGACCCCUCCCCAACACUUUAUCCCUCCAGGACACUGCCAGCGCUGAAGGCAAAUCCAUGGCCAUGUCUUUGCCCGUAUUCGCUUCCAAACCCUUGAACCGAACUUUCUUGGCGUUGCAAUCCUCAUUCAAGGUAUUGCCACCGCCACUCUCCGCCAUUAUUGAAUAUUAAAUUUAAGAGUGGUUGAAUUAACCUUUCAUCUUUGAUUCUCUUUGGUAAUUAAGACAGGACUAUUAUUGAGUAUGACUGUAAAGAUAUUAUUGUUAGCUUGAGGAAUCAAUCUCGAUGUCUUUAAUCCAAGAACAUAUUUCACCUAUGCUUCA